CACACAGACUCACACACACACACACUUUGAGCACCAUGUUGACGUGCAUCCUCCACCAUCCAGCAGGCAGCGUGGUGAGGAGCAACCCUCCCAUGUACGACAACAUCUACUUCGACUCGGACUCGGACUCUGAGCCGGAAGACGAGCAGCCCAGUAGUAGUAGCUCUGGUGGGCGGCGGCGGGCGCAGCGGGUCGUCCUGACCAACGACGAGCUGCUGUACGACCCCGACGAGGACGAUCGGGACCAGGCCUGGGUGGACGCCAGACGCAGGCGCUACAACAGGAAGCGAGCGUCCACGGGGGCCAACGGGCGGCGCUCGCAGCCCGCCAGUCUCCCCAGCAGCGACGCCGUCCUCAACUGUCCCGCCUGCAUGACCACGCUGUGUCUGGACUGUCAGAGGCACGACAAGUACCGCACGCAGUACCGCGCCAUGUUUGUCAUGAACUGCACGGUGAGGAAGGACCAGGUGCUGCGCUACCAAAGCCCCCCGGGCAGGAAGCCCCGCCACGGGAAGCGGAGGAAGGCAGAGGACGAGACGCCGGCGCCCGCUCCAGCGGGGAUGGACACCGAGGAGGUCUGCCGCCCCGUGUGCUGCUCCGAGUGUUCCACGGAGGUGGCCGUGAUGGACAAGGACGAGGUCUACCACUUCUUCAACAUCCUCUCCAGCCACUGCUGACGCCACCAUCAAGACCAACACCACUUUUUAUCUAGUCCUGGACCACUGGCCCAACCUGCUCAAAGCUGAAAAGCCGCUUUUCAGCCGUCCCUUGUUCGUCUCCGUGCGUCCCUCUCACUUCAUGGUCUCCAGCGCUGCUAAUAAAGGGAACAGGUGAUUAGAUAACUUGUUACAGCUGAGGUAUCCACUCACCUGUUGGCUGCUUCAUGGCCGGCCCCUGCACA